AUAGGAGGGAACGUGCACCCCAUUGUCUGUAAGCAAGAGCCCAAGUCCAGGAAGGCUUGGAUGGGGAUGGUGGCACCUGGGUCCCCCCAAGGCUACAGAGAGGCCUCAGCCUCAGGCUCCUUUUACCAGCGGAUGGAGAUCCUAGGCUCUUAGACUGCUGGGUCCCUGAAAGAAAAGCAAAAAUCAAAACACACCUGGAAUUCGUUGACAAGCUUGCGUUUAUUUUUGCCUUGAAGAAGAACCCAGAUGUCACGCGGCAGUGGCUGUGCCUUUUCAUCUGCAUGGUGAUAGGAAAUAAGAAGUUCCUCCCUGGUCACCCUUCCCCAGAGCCGUGCUGUGGUUCUGGGUUCUCCCCCGGUGCCAGGGUGUGAGGCAUCAGGCCAGCGCCAGUUGCUGCUCCACCAACCUUUGUCCCAGCCCUCAGAGGCAUUGGGUUCGGCCUGUCUCGGCAGCUUCCGUGCUGAGCUGGGGGUCUGGAAAGCCCUGAGGCUGCAUACUCAUAGGUGCCCCUUGCUGUGCUGCUAGCAGGUGGCUGUAGGCCCCUCUCUGGCCUUGCUGGGCUCCCUCUCUCUUCUUUCUCCAGUCACACAGGGUGGAGGGAAGGGAAAACCUCUUUGUAGACUCGGGAGGAGUCCUCCUCUCUUUACAUCUGGUCCCCUGGGUUCUCAACACCCCCUUCCCUACUCCCCAUCCUCCACCUGGGGCAAGUCUUGUUGGAAACCAAGUCAUGGAGCCUGUUUGGUUAUUUCUUCUUUCUGCUCUGCCUCUUUCUCUAGGCCAAGAGAACAGAGCCUCUGAUACCUGGCAGGGCCACCAGCAGGAGGGGACAUGUGGGCAGAAACCUCGAGACUAUUUCAGCCACUUCAGAUCAUGAGGAACAACAUCAAGGAGGGAGCAGAGACCCUGAGAGAGGCCUGAAUUGUUCCCUGAUGGAUUCUAAC
rnacentral:lncRNA from 1 species